CUGGCGGCGUGCCUAACACAUGCAAGUCGAACGGGGUGAGAUCCUUCGGGGUUCACUUAGUGGCGAACGGGUGAGUAACGCGUGAGGAACCUGCCUUUCAGUGGGGGACAACAGUUGGAAACGACUGCUAAUACCGCAUAAUGUAACGAGACCGCAUGGUUUGUUACCAAAGAUUUAUUGCUGAAAGAUGGCCUCGCGUCUGAUUAGCUAGUUGGUGGGGUAACGGGCUCACCAAGGCGACGAUCAGUAGCCGGUCUGAGAGGAUGAACGGCCACAUUGGGACUGAGACACGGCCCAGACUCCUACGGGAGGCAGCAGUGGGGAAUCUUCCGCAAUGGACGAAAGUCUGACGGAGCAAUGCCGCGUGAGUGAUGAAGGUUUUCGGACCGUAAAGCUCUUUUGUUUAUGACGAAUGUGCAUGAUGUGAAUAAUGUUGUGUAAUGACGGUAGUAAACGAAUAAGCCACGGCUAACUACGUG
rnacentral:rRNA from 1 species